AUAUCUCGCACUAGUUUCACUACGUCGUGAGCCGUGAUUAAGAAUCGUCCUCAGUUGAGUCUACUGCGGUCCGCGAGAUACACAAGAUCACAAUGGCAGCCGAUCUGAAAGACGUUGAAAUUGAGAAGGCACAGUUCGUGUUCUCCGUCUACGAUUUUGAGGGCAAAAACAGCAUUGAUGCCUUCGAAAUUGGAAAUGCCCUGCGCGCUCUCAACCUCAACCCAACUUUGGACCUGAUCGGCAAAAUGGGCGGAACCAAGAAGCGUGGCGAGAAGCAAGUCAAGUUCGAAGAAUUCCUGCCCAUCUACGCUCAGGUUAAGAAAGAAAAGGAGCAGGGAUGCUUCGAGGAUUUCCUUGAGUGUCUUAAGCUGUACGACAAGAAUGAGGACGGCACUAUGCUGCUGGCUGAAUUGAGCCACAGCUUACUUGCUCUGGGAGAAAAGCUGACCGAAGAUGAACUUGACCAUGUCUUCAAGGAUUGCAUGGACCCCGAGGACGAUGACGGCAACAUCCCAUAUGCCCCCUUCCUCAAGAAAAUGAUGGACAACAUGAUAGUCAUCAACCUUAAGUAAACACUUGAAUAAACGUCUACAUUACUAAAUUUACCAGCAAGUAAUAUGUAAGAGUAUUCCAUUUCUUCAGAGAUUGUGUGACUAUACACCACCUGCAUAUUAGAUCUGCGUCUGCAGUUGUUUCCGAUUGCAGAUAAUGUAUGAUGGUUAUAUUAACGAUAACUUACGUCCAGAAAAAUAACGAUAUGCAUAGAGCAAAACAUCGAAAAAAUAUCAAAAUGUUUUAAACGGCGCUCAACCAACACCACCAACAUCAGCGCGUCAAUACGAAAACUGAUAAUUUAUAAUGACAUCUAGUAUGGGAGCGGUUAUUAUUAAUUUCUUUUUUUUAAGUUUAAUAUAAAAUAUAUGUGUAU